rnacentral:lncRNA from 1 species
CCAGUUUCAAUUCCGGUCGUUUCACCGUCUUGUUUUUCUCCACAAACGCCCUUCUGCUGUGCUUGUGAGCAUUCUAGCACCGUCCAAGAUGCCUCACUAUUUCUGUAAAUGUUUCCUUGCUAACAGAUAAGGGCGUUUUCCUUUUACAUCCUACAAUGUCGUUGAAACACUAACAAAGUGAACAGAAGCCUGUCCAUCCGCUAAUGCCCGGCUGCAUCCGAACCCCUCCCGGUGUCAGAGGGUCCUUUCACGGGGGCUGGCUCCAGUCCCACCCGAGUAGAGUCCGAAUGCCUGGGCUCCAUCACCUUGUCCUGACCACGUCCGCGUUGAGGAAUGAUGAGACAGUGGCCGGGGACGGCCUUCCGGGAUGUGACUCGCUGGCAGAGUGGGCAGAAGAGGUCACCGAGGACGGAAGCUCAAGGAAGAGGCCUGACAGGGUGCCCCGCCCCAGCUGCCUCGGUUGGACCAGCAGGCCCUGAAGAGUCACCCACAGUUGUGGGGUCUCCUGGGAGCAGGACAUGCAGGUGCUGGCCCAGCCUGGUGGUGCAUUCCAUCCUGCCCAUACCAGCCCAGAGCUAACUGGGGGCAGUCCUGCCUCCGUCUGGGUGAGAAGGCAGGCAGUCCCCUGAGCCUGACGAUGUCACGAAAGAAGCUCACAUUCCCAACUUCUUUUCUUAAGGAAACUUAGUUUUG